UACGUAGGGUGCAAGCGUUUGUCCGGAAUUAUUGGGCGUAAAGAGCUCGUAGGCGGCUCGGUAAGUCAGGUGUCAAAUCCUCAGGCUCAACCUGGGGCUCCACCUGAUACUGCUGUGGCUAGAGUCCGGUAGGGGAGCGUGGAAUUCCUGGUGUAGCGGUGAAAUGCGCAGAUAUCAGGAGGAACACCAGCGGCGAAGGCGGCGCUCUGGGCCGGAACUGACGCUGAGGAGCGAAAGCGUGGGUAGCAAACAGG
rnacentral:rRNA from 1 species